UGGGGAAUUUUGCGCAAUGGGGGAAACCCUGACGCAGCAAUGCCGCGUGAGCGAUGAAGGCCUGAUGGUUGUAAAGCUCUUUCGCUAGGGAAGAAGAUCUGACGGUACCUAGAGAAGAAGCACCGGCUAACUCCGUGCCAGCAGCCGCGGUAAUACGGAGGGUGCAAGCGUUGUUCGGAAUUACUGGGCGUAAAGCGGGCGUAGGCGGUUUAUCAAGUCUGGUGUGAAAUCCCGGGGCUCAACCCCGGACGUGCACUGGAAACUGGUGAACUUGAGUACUGGAGAGGGUGGUGGAAUUCCCGGUGUAGAGGUGAAAUUCGUAGAUAUCGGGAGGAACAUCAGAGGCGAAGGCGGCCACCUGGACAGAUACUGACGCUGAGGUCCGAAAGCGUGGGGAGCAAACAGG
rnacentral:rRNA from 1 species